rnacentral:rRNA from 1 species
CCGCAUGAUCAAAGGAGCAAUCCGCUGAAAGAUGGGCUCGCGUCCGAUUAGAUAGUUGGUGAGGUAACGGCUCACCAAGUCGACGAUCGGUAGCCGGACUGAGAGGUUGAACGGCCACAUUGGGACUGAGACACGGCCCAGACUCCUACGGGAGGCAGCAGUGGGGAAUAUUGCACAAUGGGCGAAAGCCUGAUGCAGCAACGCCGCGGGAGGGAAGACGGUUUUCGGAUUGUAAACCUCUGUUUUCGGUGACGAACAAUGACGGUAACCGAGUAGGAAGCCACGGCUAACUACGUGCCAGCAGCCGCGGUAAUACGUAGGUGGCAAGCGUUAUCCGGAAUUACUGGGUGUAAAGGGAGCGCAGGCGGGAUAGCAAGUCAGCUGUGAAAACUAUGGGCUCAACCCAUAAACUGCAGUUGAAACUGUUAUUCUUGAGUGGAGUAGAGGCAAGCGGAAUUCCGAGUGUAGCGGUGAAAUGCGUAGAUAUUCGGAGGAACACCAGUGGCGAAGGCGGCUUGCUGGGCUCUAACUGACGUGAGGCUCGAAAGUGUGGGGACAAACAGGAUUAGAUACCCUGUAGUCCACACUGUACACGAUGAUUGCUA